GAGUUUGAUCAUGGCUCAGAUUGAACGCUGGCGGCAGGCCUAACACAUGCAAGUCGAGCGGAUGAAGGGAGCUUGCUCCUGGAUUCAGCGGCGGACGGGUGAGUAAUGCCUAGGAAUCUGCCUGGUAGUGGGGGAUAACGUCCGGAAACGGGCGCUAAUACCGCAUACGUCCUGAGGGAGAAAGUGGGGAUCUUCGGACCUCACGCUAUCAGAUGAGCCUAGGUCGGAUUAGCUAGUUGGUGGGGUAAAGGCCUACCAAGGCGACGAUCCGUAACUGGUCUGAGAGGAUGAUCAGUCACACUGGAACUGAGACACGGUCCAGACUCCUACGGGAGGCAGCAGUGGGGAAUAUUGGACAAUGGGCGAAAGCCUGAUCCAGCCAUGCCGCGUGUGUGAAGAAGGUCUUCGGAUUGUAAAGCACUUUAAGUUGGGAGGAAGGGCAGUAAGCUAAUACCUUGCUGUUUUGACGUUACCAACAGAAUAAGCACCGGCUAACUUCGUGCCAGCCGCCG
rnacentral:rRNA from 1 species